rnacentral:rRNA from 1 species
GAUGAACGCUGGCGGCGUGCCUAAUACAUGCAAGUCGAGCGAAGCGGGGACGGGUGAGUAACACGUGGAUAAACUCCUAUAAGACUGGGAUAACUUCGGGAACCCGGAGCUAACACGGAAACUGAUAGAUGGAUCAGCGCUGCAUUAGCGAGUUGGUAAGGUACCGGCUUACCAAGGAAACGAUGCAUAGCCGACCUGAGAGGGUGAUCGGCCACACGGGAACUGAGACAAGGUCCAGACUCCGACGUGAGGCAGCAGUAGGGAAUCUUCCGAAAUGGGCGAAAGCCUGACGGAGGAACGCCGCGUGAGUGAUGAAGGUCUUCUGAUCGUAAAACUCUGUUAUUAGUGAAGCGGUACCUAAUCAGAAAGCCACUGCUAACUACGUGCCAGCCGCCGCGGUAAUAC